CCUACGGGAGGCAGCAGUGGGGAAUAUUGCACAAUGGGGGAAACCCUGAUGCAGUGACGCCGCGUGAGUGAAGAAGUAUUUCGGUACGUAAAGCUCUAUCAGCAGGGAAGAAAAUGACGGUACCUGACUAAGAAGCCCCGGCUAACUACGUGCCAGCAGCCGCGGUAAUACGUAGGGGGCACGCGUUAUCCGGAUUUACUGGGUGUAAAGGGAGCGUAGACGGCAGCGCAAGUCUGGAGUGAAAUCCCAUGGCUUAACCAUGGAACUGCUUUGGAAACUGUGCAGCUAGAGUGCAGGAGAGGUAAGCGGAAUUCCUAGUGUAGCGGUGAAAUGCGUAGAUAUUAGGAGGAACACCAGUGGCGAAGGCGGCUUACUGGACUGUAACUGACGUUGAGGCUCGAAAGCGUGGGGAGCAAACAGGAUUAGAUACCCUGGUAGUC
rnacentral:rRNA from 1 species